UAGGGAAUCUUCCGCAAUGGGCGAAAGCCUGACGGAGCAACGCCGCGUGAGUGAUGAAGGUCUUCGGAUCGUAAAACUCUGUUAUUAGGGAAGAAUAAAUGUGUAAGUAACUAUGCACGUCUUGACGGUACCUAAUCAGAAAGCCACGGCUAACUACGUGCCAGCAGCCGCGGUAAUACGUAGGUGGCAAGCGUUAUCCGGAAUUAUUGGGCGUAAAGCGCGCGUAGGCGGUUUUUUAAGUCUGAUGUGAAAGCCCACGGCUCAACCGUGGAGGGUCAUUGGAAACUGGAAAACUUGAGUGCAGAAGAGGAAAGUGGAAUUCCAUGUGUAGCGGUGAAAUGCGCAGAGAUAUGGAGGAACACCAGUGGCGAAGGCGACUUUAUGGUCUGUAACUGACGCUGAUGUGCGAAAGCGUGGGGAUCAAACAGG
rnacentral:rRNA from 1 species